CCUACGGGAGGCAGCAGUGAGGAAUUUUCUGCAAUGGGCGAAAGCCUGACAGAGCAAUACCGCGUGAGGGAUGAAGACUUACUGAGUUGUAAACCUCGGUGCCUUAAGGAAGAAGAUCUGACGGUACUUAAGGUGGAAAGCAUCGGCUAACUCCGUGCCAGCAGCCGCGGUAAGACGGGGGAUGCAAGUGUUAUCCGGAAUUACUGGGCGUAAAGCGUCUGCAGGUGGUUUUAUAAGUCUGCUGUUAAAUCUUGAGGCUCAACCUCAAAUCUGCAGUGGAAACUAUAAGACUUGAGUAUAGUAGGGGUAGAGGGAAUUUCCAGUGGAGCGGUGAAAUGCGUAGAUAUUGGAAAGAACACCGAUGGCGAAGGCACUCUACUGGGCUAUUACUGACACUCAGAGACGAAAGCUAGGGGAGCAAAUGGGAUUAGAUACCCCAGUAGUCCUAGCCGUAAACGAUGGAUACUCGAUGUUGGACGUAUCGACCCGUUCAGUAUCUUAGCUAACGCGUUAAGUAUCCCGCCUGGGGAAUCGCNCGCAGAGAGAAGUAAAUAGAGUAGUACGCGUGAGACGUAGCGACGACGACGACGAGGGAGGAGG
rnacentral:rRNA from 1 species